rnacentral:lncRNA from 1 species
CAACUAGUGUUCUACAUUGACGAUAUAUGACGACAACGCACUAACAAUCAUUCAUGAACUAUUCCAAUGUUAGAUGUAUUGACUAUUGACUGUAGCAGUUACACAGAUCAAUCAUAGUAUGCCGAGCACGGGACUUGCAUUUACAACACUUGGAUAGGAACUAGUGUUCUACAUUGACGAUAUAUGACGACAACGCACUAACAAUCAUUCAUGAACUAUUCCAAUGUUAGAUGUAUUGACUAUUGACUGUAGCAGUUACACAGAUCAAUCAUAGUAUGCCGAGCACGGGACUUGCAUUUACAACACUUGGGAAGCAACUAGUGUUCUACAUUGACGAUAUAUGACGACUACGCACUAACAAUCAUUCAUGAACUAUUCCAAUGUUAGAUGUAUUGACUAUUGACUGUAGCAGUUACACAGAUCAAUCAUAGUAUGCCGAGCACGGGACUUGCAUUUACAACACUUGGAUAGGAACUAGUGUUCUACAUUGACGAUAUAUGACGACUACGCACUAACAAUCAUUCAUGAACUAUUCCAAUGAUAGAUGUAUUGACUAUUGACUGUAGCAGUUACACAGAUCAAUCAUAGUAUGCCGAGCAAGGGACUUGCAUUUACAACACUUGGAUAGGAACUAGUGUUCUACAUUGACGAUAUAUGACGACAACGCACUAACAAUCAUUCAUGAACUAUUCCAAUGUUAGAUGUAUUGACUAUUGACUGUAAGUUCAGGGGACUAUUAUGAAUUACAUUUUACAAUUGUAAAUGAAUGUUCAAAUGACACCAUUUUCAUGUAGCAGUUACACAGAUCAAUCAUAGUAUGCCGAGCACGGGACUUGCAUUUUCAACACUUGGAUAGCAACUAGUGUUCUACAUUGACGAUAUAUGACGACAACGCACUAACAAUCAUUCAUGAACUAUUCCAAUGUUAGAUGUAUUGACUAUUGACUGUAGCAGUUACACAGUUCAAUCAUAGUAUGCCGAGCACGGGACUUGCAUUUACAACACUUGGAUAGGAACUAGUGUUCUAGAUUGACGAUAUAUGACGACAACGCACUAACAAUCAUGCAUGAACUAUUCCAAUGUUAGAUGUAUUGACUAUUGACUGUAGCAGUUACACAGAUCAAUCAUAGUAUGCCGAUCACGGGACUUGCAUUUACAACAUUUGGAUAGCAACUAGUGUUCUACAUUGCCGAUAUAUGACAACAACGCUCUAACAAUCAUUCAUGACUUAUUCCAAUGUUAGAUGUAUUGACUAUUGACUGUAAGGUCAUGGGACUAUUAUGAAUUAUUGCAAUUGGUCUUCGGUAUUUAGAUUUAUUUUGCUUAUUUUUUUUUUCAUUAAAUUACAAAUUUAAU